rnacentral:rRNA from 1 species
CCUANGGGUGGCAGCAGUGGGGAAUAUUGGACAAUGGGCGCAAGCCUGAUCCAGCCAUGCCGCGUGAGUGAUGAAGGCCCUAGGGUUGUAAAGCUCUUUCGACGGGGACGAUAAUGACGGUACCCGUAGAAGAAGCCCCGGCUAACUUCGUGCCAGCAGCCGCGGUAAUACGAAGGGGGCUAGCGUUGUUCGGAAUCACUGGGCGUAAAGCGCACGUAGGCGGAUCGUUAAGUCGAGGGUGAAAUCCCAGGGCUCAACCCUGGAACUGCCUUCGAUACUGGCGAUCUUCGAGUCCGGGAGAGGUGAGUGGAACUCCGAGUGUAGAGGUGAAAUUCGUAGAUAUUCGGAAGAACACCAGUGGCGAAGGCGGCUCACUGGCCCGGUACUGACGCUGAGGUGCGAAAGCGUGGGGAGCAAACAGGAUUAGAUACCCCANUAGUC